CCGGGGGCGGGGGCGCCGGCGCGGCGCAUGCGCGCUGCAUUGUUUUGACUGAAAAUGCCGUCGGUUUCGAAAGCGGCGGCGGCGGCGCUGAGCGGGUCCCCCCCACAGACUGAGAAGCCGACCCACUACAGGUACCUGAAGGAGUUCAGGACGGAGCAGUGCCCCCUGUUUUCACAGCACAAGUGCGCGCAGCACCGGCCGUUCACCUGCUUCCACUGGCACUUCCUCAACCAGCGGCGCCGCAGGCCCCUCCGCAGGCGCGACGGCACCUUCAACUACAGCCCCGACGUGUACUGCUCCAAGUACAACGAAGCCACCGGCGUGUGCCCCGACGGCGACGAGUGUCCCUACCUGCACCGGACGACGGGGGACACAGAACGCAAGUACCACCUGCGUUACUACAAGACAGGAACCUGCAUCCACGAGACAGAUGCACGUGGCCACUGCGUGAAGAACGGGCUGCACUGUGCCUUCGCGCACGGCCCCCUGGACCUGCGGCCGCCCGUGUGUGACGUCAGGGAGCUGCAGGCCCAGGAAGCCUUGCAGAACGGCCAGCUGGGCGGCGGGGAAGGGGUCCCGGAUCUGCAGCCUGGGGUCUUGGCCAGCCAGGCCAUGAUUGAGAAGAUCCUGAGCGAGGACCCCCGGUGGCAAGAUGCCAACUUCGUGCUGGGCAGCUACAAGACAGAGCAGUGCCCGAAGCCGCCGCGCCUGUGCCGCCAGGGCUACGCGUGCCCGCACUACCACAACAGCCGGGACAGGCGGCGUAACCCCCGGCGCUUCCAGUACAGGUCCACGCCCUGCCCCAGCGUGAAGCAUGGGGAUGAGUGGGGGGAGCCCUCACGCUGCGAUGGCGGCGACGGCUGCCAGUAUUGCCACUCCCGCACGGAGCAGCAGUUCCAUCCUGAGAUCUACAAAUCUACAAAAUGCAACGACAUGCGCCAAACCGGGUACUGCCCGCGCGGCCCCUUCUGUGCCUUUGCACACGUUGAGAAGAGCCUGGGGAUGGCGAAUGAAUGGGGCUGCCGCGACCUCCACCUCACAACUCCUGCCUCCACGGGCAGCGGCCAGCCGGGAAAUGCCAAGCGGAGAGACUCGCCAGCUGAGGGCGGCCCGAAGGGCAGCGAGCAAGACAGCAAGCAGAACCACCUGGCCGUGUUUGCAGCCGUCCACCCGCCAGCCCCCAGCAUGAGCUCCAGCGUGGCGUCCAGCCUGGCGUCCAGCACCGGCUCCGGCAGCUCCUCCCCGACUGCGCUGCCCGCGCCCCCCGCCCGCGCCCUCCCGCUCGGCCCCGCCAGCAGCACCGUGGAGGCCGUCCUCGGUUCUGCAUUAGACCUGCAUCUUAGCAAUGUGAAUAUUGCAUCCCUAGAGAAGGACCUGGAAGAGCAAGACGGCCACGACCUGGGACCAGCAGGUCCCAGGUCGCUGGCCGGCUCUGCGCCUGUCGCCAUCCCCGGCUCCCUGCCCCGAGCACCAUCGCUACACUCGCCAUCCUCCGCGUCCACCUCGCCGCUCAGUUCGCUGUCCCAGCCCCUCCCAGGGCCCGUGGGCUCCUCGGCCAUGACACCUCCCCAGCAGCCGCCACCCCUGCGUUCAGAGUCGGGCGCACUGGGCUCUGCAGCCUCAUCCUACAGCCCCCUAGGUUUGAACGGUGUCCCCGGGAGCAUCUGGGACUUUGUUUCCGGCAGCUUCUCCCCCAGCCCCUCCCCUAUCCUGAGUGCGGGCCCCCCAUCCUCUUCGAGUGCAAGUCCAAACGGAGCUGAGCUGGCCCGGGUCAGGCGGCAGCUGGACGAGGCCAAGAGGAAGAUCCGGCAGUGGGAGGAGUCCUGGCAGCAGGUGAAGCAGGUCUGCGAUGCCUGGCAGCGAGAGGCACAGGAGGCCAAGGAACGUGCCCGCGUGGCCGACAGCGACCGGCAGCUGGCGCUGCAGAAGAAGGAGGAGGUGGAGGCGCAGGUGAAGCAGCUGCAGGAGGAGCUGGAGGGCCUGGGCGUAGCCUCCACACUGCCGGGGCUGCGGGGCUGUGGGGACAUCGGCACCAUUCCCCUGCCGAAGCUGCACUCGCUGCAGAGUCAGCUGCGCCUGGACCUGGAAGCGGUGGACGGCGUGAUCUUCCAGCUCCGCGCCAAGCAGUGUGUGGCCUGCCGGGAGCGGGCCCACGGUGCCGUCCUGCAGCCCUGCCAGCACCACGUCCUGUGUGAGCCGUGUGCGGCCACCGCACCUGAGUGCCCCUACUGCAAGGGCCAGCCCCUGCAGUGGUGACCUCAGUGGGGACAGCCACCUCCUGCUGGGUACCCUGGCUCCAGCGCUCGUGACCAUGGACACGUCGUCACUCACUUCUGGUGCCACCGACGUGAGGACCGAGGCUGGGAGCCCCUGCCCGCACUCGGCCCUACAGCCCUUCCUGUUACAUGUUAUCAUGACGCUGGGAGCCCCGCCCGCGCUUGGCCUGACAGCCUUUCCUGUCACACGUUAUCACCUGUCUAGUCCUCCCGACGGUUUCAAGGAAGUGGAUCCGUGACAUUCUGCAGCUGGUCCACUACUCCAAGGUAACUAUCGACUUGGUUUUAGUGAAUCUAUUUUGUUUUUAAUUAUAGUGAUUUAUUAGCUCAGUAUCUAGAAAUUACGUAUAUUUUGUGCUACUGUCAUCAAUGUGUAAAAUCCUGUUUUUAUUAGUAUUUAUGCACUUGGUUCCCAUUUCGAGCCUCUGGUCUUUUCUGGGAUAAGUGGUGUCUGCCCAGCGUCUCCCGGUUGUCAGUGGUCAGGAGCAGCUGAGCUCUAGUCUGCCAGCUGCUCUGCUCUUUCUGGGAAUGAGGUGGCGGCUGCCCCUCAGGGUGUCUCCAUGGCUCAGCUUCUGGGGUGGUGGAGCUGAGGAGCCCCAGGGGUGGGGGGGGACAGCUGGGAGAUGGAGGUAGCACCUGCUCCCCCAGAUCAGUACUGGCUCUGAGGACAGGUGAGUGGUGGGAAGACCAAAGAAUGGCUGGUGGCGCUGCCAGGGUUGGAAAUGGGGGCAAGAUCCUGGGUCUCUCCGCCCUGGGGCCUCCCUCACCCGUCUUGGCGGCCAAGGCCUCAGGGAUGGAUCCUAGGUGGCUGAGGCACAGCAGUGGCUGGAAGGUGCCCCGUGGAGGCAGAGGUGGAGGUGGGCCCAGCGGCUCCCACCUGUGGCCAUGGCGGGCACCGGGCAUAGGAGCUGGUUGGUGGCCGGUUCUGCGUGUUCUUGUUGCCUGUCGUCUGUAACUCUAGUGUUCAACAUUAGCCGUGAUACUGUGGUGUCACGACGUGUGUAACUGUGGUCAGCAGACCUUGUUCCGUGUGGACGCGUCACGUGGAUUAAUUUCUGGAAGCCUCAAUCUGUAUGUUUAUUUAGAUGAGAAUGUUAUUUGAAUGGAAUUUUCUUAACCCAGAAGGGUAGUAUUUAUAAUCAUUUACUUGUAGCAAACUGUUUAAAGUUAACACUUGUUUAAAUUUUUUUACACUAUAGCAUUUAUGCAAUGGUUUACAGAACUCAUGGAGUUAUUUUUAUCAGUAUGGGAAUUAAUUAAAACCUUGAAUCUUU